rnacentral:rRNA from 1 species
UACGUAGGGGGCAAGCGUUGUCCGGAUUUAUUGGGCGUAAAGAGCUCGUAGGUGGUUCGGUAAGUCGGAUGUGAAAUCUCCAGGCUCAACCUGGAGGGUCAUUCGAUACUGCCGUGACUAGAGGUCGGUAGGGGAGUGUGGAAUUCCUGGUGGAGCGGUGAAAUGCACAGAUAUCAGGAGGAACACCCGUAGCGAAGGCGGCACUCUGGGCCGAUACUGACACUGAGGAGCGAAAGCGUGGGGAGCGAACAGG